GAUGAACGCUGGCGGCGUGCCUAAUACAUGCAAGUCGAGCGAACAGACGAGGAGCUUUCUCCUCUGACGUUACCGGCGGACGGGUGAGUAACACGUGGAUAACCUACCUAUAAGACUGGUAUAACUUCGGGAAACCGGAGCUAAUACCGGAUAAUAUAUUGAACCGCAUGGUUCAAUAGUGAAAGACGGUUUUGCUGUCACUUAUAGAUGGAUCCGCGCCGCAUUAGCUAGUUGGUAAGGUAACGGCUUACCAAGGCAACGAUGCGUAGCCGACGUGAGAGGGUGAUCGCCCACACGGGAACUGAAACACGGUCACGGCUCCUACGGGAGGCAGCAGUCGGGAAUCUUCCGCAAUGGGCGAAAGCUUGGCGGAGCAACGCCGCGUGAGUGAUGAAGGUCUUCGGAUCGUAAAACUCUGUUAUUAGGGAAGAACAAAUGUGUAAGUAACUAUGCACGUCUUGACGGUACCUAAACAGAAAGCCACGGCUAACUACGUG
rnacentral:rRNA from 1 species